CGACUCGAUGAUCCAACGAUUGAGAAUAUUUUAGAUUGGGGCUAUCAAAAUUUUAGAUCUCAUUGGUAUGAUUUCAUCAUGGCUCUAAAAACAUUGCCCUAAUCUAUGGAUUUUAUCAUAAUCAUAAAAAAAAUAUAAUAUAGCAAAUGAUAAAAUACAAUAUCUAAUGAAUAAAAUAACUAAUGUCAUACAAAUGAGG
rnacentral:lncRNA from 1 species